CUCUUGACCCAAGGAAUACUGGAGUCUCCUUCAGGAACUGAGUGAGGGAGGAACUAGUAAAGCUGCUUACAGGAAGCAAUAAGCAGAGGAUGAAGAGGAUGGCUCUACAGGUCCUCACCAGUGCCUACUUACACAGCUUAUCAAGUUACCAGCUAUGGGAAAAAGAAAGAAGUUAAAAGAAGAAAAAGGGGGUCACAGACCGUGAGACCAGACCAGUUCAACUGCAGCUGCCCACACACAGCCUCCCUGAGAUGUUCACCUUGAAGAUGGACAGGAGCCCUGCACCACCCCCAACCACAGCUGAUUGAUCCCAAUCCCCAGGAUCUCCUCAAGUCUGUCUCUUGCCCGAGGUUUUCCCAGAGUGCUCUUUCCCUUCUCUUUUGUUAAUCAAUAAACACUCCUU